CCGGCCAACAACUAGUAGCUUAUUAUUAUUAUUAUUAUUUGAAAUUUUAAAUAUUUUGACGCAUUGUUGUAUUGUGUUGACUUCUAAUUUAUCUAUUUGAUGAAAAAUAUAGGUUAUAAUGGAACGAGAAAUGAAGGUUCAUCCUAAUGAUCAUUUUCCUGGAGCAUUUUCAUGCUGUUCUCAUAUAGGAAAGACUAUUCCUAAAAUUAAGAAAAAACUAUCUCCCACACAAUUAGUCAUGUUUAGACUUAUGUUUGGUCCUCUCCUUGAUACAAACACCAUCUUCAAUGGACCACUUAUACAUUAUAUUUUUCUUCAAGAGGUAGAUGAACUUAUGAGAGCAUAUUAGUUUUAAUUGACCUUAUAAUGGAACGAGAAAUGAAAUUUCAUCAUAAUGAUCAUUUUCUUGGAGCCUUUUCAUGUUGUUCUCAUAUAGGAAAGAUUAUUCCUAAAAUUAAGAAAAAAUAAACAUGGCUAAUUGUGUGGGAGAUAAACAUGUUUGGUCCUCUCCUUGAUACAAACAUCAUCUUCAAUGGACCACUUAUACAUUAUAUUUUUCUUCAAGAGGCAGAGGAACUUAUGAGAGAUAUUAUUAGUUUUAAUCUUAUGGGGAACAAGGUAUCACUUAGCCAAAUAGAGUUUGACUUUAUCACAGGACUAAAACAUCAAACUAGAAUUGUGAGGGGAGAAAAUUCUUUUGUUAUAGAGCUAAGUAUCUAAAUGACAAUGAGGGUAUGAAGGCAUAUGAGUUGGACUCUAUUUUUCCAACACUUGAGUUUGAAAACGAUGUUGAUGUAGUGAAAAUUGCAUUAUUUUAUUUUAUUGAGUUUGCUUUGAUGGAUAGAGAGAGGAAAAAACAAAUGGAUUUUAAAAAUUUAGCUAUCAUAGAUAACUGAAACAGAUUUUGUAAUGAGGAUUGGAGCAAGAAAUUUUUUGGAAAUACAAUCAAACGAUUUAAACAAGAUUGAAAGAGCACUGGCGUAUAAGGGCAAUGCAGAUGGAAAACAACAGACGUACAGUCUUUACGAGUUUCCCCAUGCUUUUUAGGUAUGGGCAUACGAAACUAUUUCAUCAUUAUUCGGUCGCGUUGCAAACAGAUUGAAUGACAAUGCGAUAUGACGCAUUUUAAGAUGAUCAUGCUCAUAUUCUCCUCCAUAUGGAAUUAUUAGAGACGAAGUCUUCGGGUAAGGAUCACAUUGGAACUCGUUCCAUUUGAGGAAAAGAUUCAAUUUAUGAAUCGUGUUAUGGAGCUACCCAUCCUUCCAAUUGCACCAUCUGCACCCCACCUCUACCCACAAAUGAUGACGAUAUUGCUGGACCACUGGAACUACCUCAACCCACAAAUUAUGACGAUGUUGCUGGACCUUCAAACACUAAGAGGUUGAUCACAGUGAUAGUCAAUGAAGGCAUCACAGGAAGAUCAAGAAGAAGUGGAAGUAGUAUUGCAAAUUGAUUAAGUUAAUCAAAGAUUUUGAUUGUCGCAUGGAAAGUUUGGAACGUGACCUAAAGAGCAUUAAAAAGUACUUGCGAUGAUUAUCGAAGAUAAGGAUAUACCAUUGUCAUCCUUGUUGUUUGUUCUCUUCAUACGUAAUUUAUCCUAUCAUCCUAUGCAUGAUACCUAUGCACGUAGGGAAAGGACGUUGAUUACACUAAAGGUGGGGAUCAUGGAGGUACGAGUGUUCAUGCUGUGAUAAAUGAUGGUGAUAGGGACGAUCAUUCAACCUGUGGUUCUAGGUGACGAUGUUAUAGAUGAAAGGUCGGGCAUUGAUGGGCGGAAGGACGAGGUAUGACCUCGUUGAGAAGUUAACGAUCAAAAUUAUUGAUGUAAUAUUGUUGUUGAAAAGUUAGGAUAUAUUGUCAUGAUCCUUAUUGUCUGUUCUUAUCGUCGUUGUUUUUCUAUUUAGUAUGUAGGUAAAUUUAUUGUUGU